rnacentral:rRNA from 1 species
GUGGGGAAUAUUGGACAAUGGGCGAAAGCCUGAUCCAGCCAUGCCGCGUGUGUGAAGAAGGUCUUCGGAUUGUAAAGCACUUUAAGUUGGGAGGAAGGGCAGUAAGUUAAUACCUUGCUGUUUUGACGUUACCAACAGAAUAAGCACCGGCUAACUUCGUGCCAGCAGCCGCGGUAAUACGAAGGGUGCAAGCGUUAAUCGGAAUUACUGGGCGUAAAGCGCGCGUAGGUGGUUCAGCAAGGUGAAGGUGAAAUCCCCGGGCUCAACCUGGGAACUGCCUCCAAAACUACUGAGCUGGAGUACGGUAGAGGGUAGUGGAAUUUCCUGUGUAGCGGUGAAAUGCGUAGAUAUAGGAAGGAACACCAGUGGCGAAGGCGACUACCUGGACUGAUACUGACACUGAGGUGCGAAAGCGUGGGGAGCAAACAGGAUUAGAUACCCUUGUAGUCC